CCUACGGGAGGCAGCAGUGAGGAAUAUUGGUCAAUGGCCGGGAGGCUGAACCAGCCAAGUCGCGUGAGGGAAGACGGCCCUACGGGUUGUAAACCUCUUUUGUCAGGGAGCAAGGUGCAGGUCGGGACCUGCUGUGAGAGUACCUGAAGAAAAAGCAUCGGCUAACUCCGUGCCAGCAGCCGCGGUAAUACGGAGGAUGCGAGCGUUAUCCGGAUUUAUUGGGUUUAAAGGGUGCGAAGGCGGAGGCACAAGUCAGCGGUAAAAUCGCGGGGCUCAACCCCGCUCCGCCGUUGAAACUGUGUCCCUUGAGUGCGCGAAGGGUAGGCGGAAUGCGUGGUGUAGCGGUGAAAUGCAUAGAUAUAUGGAAGAACACCAGUGGCGAAGGCGGCUCUCUGGUCUGCAACUGACGCUGAGGCUCGAAAGCAUGGGUAGCGAACAGGAUUAGAUACCCCGGUAGUC
rnacentral:rRNA from 1 species